AUACGGAGGUGGUUAGCGUUGUUCGGAAUUACUGGGCGUAAAGCGCACGUAGGCGGACUGGAAAGUUGGGGGUGAAAUCCCGGGGCUCAACCCCGGAACUGCCUCCAAAACUUCCAAUCUAGAGAUCGAGAGAGGUGAGUGGAAUUCCAAGUGUAGAGGUGAAAUUCGUAGAUAUUUGGAGGAACACCAGUGGCGAAGGCGGCUCACUGGCUCGAUACUGACGCUGAGGUGCGAAAGCGUGGGGAGCAAACAGGAUUAGAAACCCUAGUAGUCC
rnacentral:rRNA from 1 species